UUUUGGAAAGCUGGGAACUACAAUGAUGGCAUUGGUUCUAAAGUCACAAUUCAAAAUGGCAAAAACUAUCUACAUGUCCACCCAAUGUUCCUUCAUUCAAAUGCCACUUCACAUAAAUGGGCCUUUGGUGCCAUAGCAGAUCUACUUGAC